CCUACGGGAGGCAGCAGUGGGGAAUUUUGGACAAUGGGCGAAAGCCUGAUCCAGCAAUGCCGCGUGUGUGAAGAAGGCCUUCGGGUUGUAAAGCACUUUUGUCCGGAAAGAAAUGGCUCUGGUUAAUACCUGGGGUCGAUGACGGUACCGGAAGAAUAAGGACCGGCUAACUACGUGCCAGCAGCCGCGGUAAUACGUAGGGUCCAAGCGUUAAUCGGAAUUACUGGGCGUAAAGCGUGCGCAGGCGGUUGUGCAAGACCGAUGUGAAAUCCCCGAGCUUAACUUGGGAAUUGCAUUGGUGACUGCACGGCUAGAGUGUGUCAGAGGGGGGUAGAAUUCCACGUGUAGCAGUGAAAUGCGUAGAGAUGUGGAGGAAUACCGAUGGCGAAGGCAGCCCCCUGGGAUAACACUGACGCUCAGCACGAAAU
rnacentral:rRNA from 1 species